AUCAUCAGUAGUGGUUAGUACUAUCUCAAGAUAAUAUUAAUACACAUAUACACCAUAGAAACCUACGGUUUCGGUUAUCUUUUCUCUCGAAAGGAGCCUCAUUGCAUGGGCUGUUUUUUCUGUUGUUGAUUUCCUAUUGGAAAUUUGGCAAUGGUUGGCAGUCUGGUGGUGGGAUUUUCCUUAGUUAAUACUGGAGAGGAGUGACUGUUACCUAUUUUUAACCCAUAGCUGAAUGAGCUCUGACUAGCCCCAAACAAGCUAGCCACAGAAUUCAUUUCGUUUCCGGUUUCUUAGAUCAAUGGGUGAUUGUGGGGGGUCUUCUUCGGGAGGCUUUCUGCAUUCAUUCUGACCGCUAUGAGGGAGUCUGGGCAGAGGGUGCAUGAGACCAAACAAUCUCUUGCACUUUAAUCUCCCAGGUGAAGCAUGUGAUCCAGAGGGCUAUGCGUAAUUGCUGCCUGAGAGUUUGGAUUUUAGCUCCGUUGUGCCCUUCCUCAUGGUGGAACAUUC
rnacentral:snoRNA from 1 species